rnacentral:ncRNA from 1 species
UUAUCUUCAGGGCAGGGUGAAAUUCCCGAUCGGCGGUAAAGUCCGCGAGUGUGAAAGCACAGGAUUCAGCAGAUAUUUUGUCUGAAUCAGGAUUUGGUGCGAUUCCAAAACCGACAGUAUAGUCUGGAUGGGAGAAGAU